rnacentral:rRNA from 1 species
AUUGAACGCUGGCGGCAUGCCUUACACAUGCAAGUCGAACGGCAGCACGGGAGCUUGCUCCUGGUGGCGAGUGGCGAACGGGUGAGUAAUACAUCGGAACGUACCCUGAAGUGGGGGAUAACGUAGCGAAAGUUACGCUAAUACCGCAUAUUCUGUGAGCAGGAAAGAGGGGGAUCGCAAGACCUCUUGCUUUAGGAGCGGCCGAUGUCGGAUUAGCUAGUUGGUGAGGUUAAAGGCUCACCAAGGCGACGAUCCGUAGCGGGUCUGAGAGGAUGAUCCGCCACACUGGACUGAGACACGGCCCAGACUCCUACGGGAGGCAGCAGUGGGGAAUUUU